AGGAGAAACUUGGACACAGAGACAGAUAUUCCAAGAGAGAAGGUGAAGUCACACAAGGAGAAUACUAGACAAGGAACACCAGAGGCUACCAGCAGCUAAGAGGCCUGGAACAGAUCCUGCUCCCACAACCCUGAGAAGGAGUCAACCCUGCCAAUACCUUGAUUUCAGACUUCUAACUUCCAGACUGUGAAACAACAGAUUUGGGGUAAGAAAAGCCGGAAUCUCCUUUUCAUUUGUACUUCGGGAUUUCUAACAUUUUCAUGAGGUUUUUGUAUUUCCUCGGUGAAUUACGUUAAUCAUCCUUUGCUUGUGGUGUCCCAGGGUCACCACGAGGGGAAAAUGCAACGUGAUGUGUACGGCACCAGGCACAAAAGCCGGUUGCGCGGAUGACAAACCCCAAGGAUCAGACACUUGUAUGUACGGCGGUCGGGCCCCACCCUGGAUCUUGAGGGCAGACGAGCCUCGACCGGAGUGAUCAGUGCCCGGGGGGCACCCCGAGGAGAGUGGCUAAAACUGAGAGAGCUUCCCAGAAGCAGCCUUUGAGCCAGGUACAAAGGAGGAGUUGCGGCGGAGCGGGGCCUGCCCGCUACCUACCGCGCUGCCCCCCCCACCAGCCCCGCCAGGGUUGGGGGGUGCCCCACGGAACGAAGCGGGGGGCGGGGUGGGCAGGAGCCCAAGAGCACACCGUCCGGGCCAGGAGUCAACCCAGAUGGAACUGUCUCCAAGCAGCUCUUUACGCAAGAUCGUCCAGUCCACAUCAAAGGAAGGGAGAGGCGGCGAUAGAGGUUAGAGGGAGACCAAAGCCUUCUCAAGCCAUCCGUGGCUCCGCCUCUGCACGUACCAUGCCCAGAGGAUGCCCUCGUGGGCGCUCACAGUCCCGCAAACACACAGGAUGUGGGGUCACCUGCAGCACCACCCCUCCCUGAGCACCCUCACUCAGCACCCAGCGUUCUUUGUUCACCUACACACCUCUUACCCCCCACUCCCUUUAUAUCUGCCUUUGUACCUGCACUUAGCAGUUCCCCAAAGACAGGAAUUGGGGCUCCCUCUGUCUCUCUGGGCCCUCUAUUGCCCAGCAAUGCCCAACACAUGGUGAAGCACGUGACAGUGAGUGGAAGAAAAGGGUCCUUGAAUGGUAAGUGAUGAGUGAAAGCAUUUUGUUAACCAGACAGUGCUGUGCGAAUAUGAGGGCUUUGGUCAUUAUGACAGUAAUUUAAAUCAUAGAGGUUCAGGACACGAACAUAUCUUACAGGUUAACUGAAUCCUCCCGUUAGACAGAUGAGGAAACUGAGGUCCAGAAAAGACUGCCAGAGAUCACUCAUGGAGGAUGUCCCGCUUGAACCUCAACUAAAA